GUAUUUGUAAACGACUAAACUUAUAUUAAACACUUUUAAACAAGUUUAGUUACAAGUUUAUGUUAUGUGUUGAUGUACCUACAAUAAAAAGAGUAUUAACAUUUUAGUAAAAUGUCAUAUCGCCGGGCUGUUUGGUUGGAAGAAAAUUGUGAGGAAGAAGGAGUCUUGCCAUCCGCAUGGGUGCGGGGAAAAGUAGUUAUGUGGCCCCCAUCCAAAAUGAAUGCGUUUAAAUUAAUGAAAGAAGGAGUAGAACCUAAUGAAAAUUGGCGGCUUUUUAAACUAAUAAAAAUAAAACUUCAGAUUGCUACGAGGAUUGUAAUAAUUAUGAUUUAACUACAGAAACUGAAGAAGAUAAUCAGCAAGUUUCAAAAAAGCGCAAGCGUACUGCUUGUACAACUUUUUUUGAAGGCGAGGAAGAAGUUGAUGUUGAUAUUAAUACAGAAAUAAAACUAUCUACAUUUCCACAGCCACCUGCUAAACUAGGCAAAAUGUUACCAUCAAAUAUUUCACUAUAUAAAAAGGUUGUGGAUGUGGUACCACAAGGAUAUAAAAGUGAUCAUGCAACUAAACUAUCACCAAUUCCACAGUCACCUGGUCUUUCAAGCUGUUAUUCUAAGAUACCUUCAUUCAAAUCAAGCAUGGUGACUAUACCAAAAGAAAAGAAAAUGGAUCAAUCAAUUAAGAUGUCUAAAUUUAUAUCUUUGAUAUAGACCACCUUCACUUUUAAAUAAUCUUCAGAUUUAGACCUACUAACUUUUACGACUUAUGAUGAUAUAUUUUACAGAGUUUCAGAGAAAAGUUCUUUAUCAGUUAUCAAAUAUGGCUAACGAAAUUAAAGAUUUACGAAUAGCAGUGGAAAUGAUGGCCGUACCAAGUUUAGAGACUGUUGCUGAGGUCCAUCUAGAAGUUAUAGCUGGAGCUAUUGGGACCUUGAAUGGAUACAGAAAAUUAGAGGAGCAAUGUGGAGUUCUUGCUAAUCGAACAAUUUUAAAAGUGUAUAGCUAAUUGUUUUUAUCCUCUUUCCCAGAAAGGUUUUUAACGUCUAUAUAAUGUUUGUUUUGAUGUCAGAAAAUAUGUUUUGCUUUCAUUGAGGUGGCAAGACUUUUGUUUUUUUUAUUAAUUAGAAUCCCAUGUGUAAUGAAAAGUAGCAUUUAUAAAUAAUUUCUUUGUAGCUUCGCCUUCUUUCACGAAUCGGAGGGUCAUCCAUUAAAGAUACUUCUAAGAAUCUAUUGAAAAGACUUUUUACAAAUUUUGUUAUGUCUCAUUUGAGUAUGGAUGGUAAAGGUUCUCUUAAAAAGCUUCCGUUUAGAGACUCUGCUCUGUGUCAACUUGUUGUUGAGUGUGUAUUGAAACGAUAUUCUACGUCUUCUUUGUCCGAAAUACAUUCGUGCAUUGGUUCUCAUCUUAGAAUGGCUCCGUUUCGUUUAGGUGGCACUGGGAAAGGUGGCGCCUAUUUUUCCAAUUCUCAAGAUGGAAAGGCUGGCUUGAACGAUUCAAGCAAAGAUGAUGCUUAUUGUCAUGGAAGCGAUCAUGAUAAUGAUAAAUACGAUAAUUCAUAUUAUAAUAAUUAAAAUUAGUGUAAAUAUGUUUAAGACUUGCAUGUAUGAAAAAAAAUAUCUGUAUGUUUGA
rnacentral:misc_RNA from 1 species